rnacentral:lncRNA from 1 species
CAAUGUUAUGCCAGUAGAAUCAAAAUAAAUUGAUUAACAUUGAAUUUGUUUAGAAUAUAUCAUUACUGGGCUUCUUUUUAAGGUUGAUGAAGUCUAAUCAAAUUGAACCUAAUUAGUAAGCAUGUUCCCUAUGAUAUGAUCUUUCUAAUUCUAAUGCCAUAAUAAAGUGUUUGCCCCAAUUUCAAGGUCUAAUGAACAUAGAAAACAUUUUCAAGGUCCAAUGAACAUAGAAAAUAAAAGUUCGAGUG